rnacentral:rRNA from 1 species
UAGUAACGGCGAGUGAAGCGGGAAGAGCUCAAGCUUAAAAUCUCCGUGCAAGUUUUGCGCGGCGAAUUGUAGUCUAUAGAGGCGUGAUCAGUGUGGGCGCUUGGGGCAAGUUCCUUGGAAGAGGACAGCAUGGAGGGUGAUACUCCCGUUCAUCCCUGAGUUGCUCGUGCGUACGAUCCGUUUUCUUUGAGUCGCGUUGUUUGGGAAUGCAGCGCAAAGUAGGUGGUAAAUUCCAUCUAAAGCUAAAUAUUGGUGCGAGACCGAUAGCGAACAAGUACCGUGAGGGAAAGAUGAAAAGAACUUUGAAAAGAGAGUUAAAGAGUACCUGAAACUGCUGAAAGGGAACCGAAUCGUUUCCAGUGUCUAUAAUCCGUGGUAUAUUUCAUUGGCGAGUGUGUGCGUGCGUGUGCUGUGGCAGCGGCUUUUUUGGCUGCGCUCGGCGUGUGUGCUGUGUGUGCUUGCUGGUGCCCUGUGCUGCGGUGGGACGUCAAGGUCAGUUCGUAUGCUGCGGGAAAUGGCCGCCGAGGAGGUAGGGCUUACGCUUGCGUUUGUCUGUUAUAUCUUGGUGGACGAGUAGUCGCGGUUGGGACUGAGGUGCCUACAACGUGUUUUUGAGUGGGCCUGUGUCUCUGUGUGCGCCGUGUGCGGAUAGCUUGCUAUGCGUGUGUGGUUGUGUGUGGAUUGAUGUGGGUUUUAACUUGUUGCCGUUCGGGACGUUGACGAAAUGGAGCGAUUUGACCCGUCUUGAAACACGGACCAAGGAGUCUAACAUGUGUGCAAGUGUUAGGGUGUGGAAACCCCAGCGCGAAAUGAAAGUGAAGGGCAGCGUAAGUUGUCUGAGGUAGGAAAUGCUGCGGGCUUCGGUCUGCGGUGUGGCACUAUCGACCGAUCAUGAACCUUCGUGGUGAAAGAUUUGAGUUUGAGCACAUAUGUUGGUACCCGAAAGAUGGUGAACUAUGCCUGAGUAGGGUGAAGCCAGGGGAAACUCUGGUGGAA